CGAUCAUCUGUUCUGUCGAAGUCGUUUAUUUACGACGUAACGGUCGUGUUAUGAAUCGACUAAGAAAUACAUGAUUAUAUGGAGAUUUCAUUGUAUUCGGGUCUAUGCGAAUUUUGAAAUUUUAUUAGCUUCGUUGAAUCGUAUUUCAUUUACGUAGAUUUGUUUAAUGAUAUUAUUUAUUUAUUCGUAAUAUAUCGAUACACUUAUAAGUCAAAAUGACUUUAUAUCUGAAUAGGAGACAGGGGCAGGUUAAUGCCUUAUCUCACUUUAUAAUCUUUGCAAUUUUUACCCUCUAUCGCUUAAUGGGAAAUAUACUAAAGUAUACUUUGUUUUUUCCUCUUUAUGUAUUAUAAAUGAAAAUUUGAAAAAAUAGAACACAGCGUGAGUAAGUAAAGUUGUUAAGUUGAUACAUUUGUGAAAUACGUUGGUAUGAUGUUUGAUAAUUAUUUUCGUCGAUUAAGGCGUAUCUACUAUUUUAGUUCUAUUGAUUAUUCAUUAGACAGUCGAUAUAGGUACGGAUGUUUCCUGUAUUUAUGUAUUUAAUUUCGGCAAUGAUAAUUGCAAUAUUGAUAUAUGUUAAUUUUGUAUAUUUUUAAACGAAACUUAAAAGAUUUGAAAUAGAAUUAUUGAAAGAGUAAAAGGUUUCAGCAGAAUUUUAAAAGAUUCGCAUAGAUCUGAUUUUACAAACAUCCAAAGGGCACGUACUAGUUAACGCGUAAAGUCGAAGGUCAUUUUCUGCAUGCAAGGCAGAUAAAAUCAAAUAGCAUUCAAGAAUAACUACUCGGUAAUUACUUCAUUAAGGUUGUGCUUCCUGGCGAAAUAAGAAUCAGUUAUAAAUAAUAUUAUUACUUAAUAUUUAUCAAAUUAAAUAAUAUUCUGACUAAUAUUAUAAGCUGUGGAACCCAAUUUUUACAAUAACAGAUUUCUAUUUUUUAAACAGCCUCACUUAUAAGGUUUGAACGUAACGUAAGAUUACUUUAAUUUAUAUAACACGAGUGCAUAUUAAGUAUCAAAGACAACAAUCAAAGACAUCAGUCUCUUCUUAAAGAAACGUAAGUUUAUCUGUUUUAACAUAAUUGUGCAGUGUCAGUUAUUUAUUUUUUCGAAGAAAAUAACAUGUCGAGCGAUGGUUUGCGCCGAACCGCUACACUUUAUUGCUUCAUUUAUAUAUAUAUUUAUAUAUAUAUACUUGAGCUUAAGUAUUUUUAGCGAAGUACAACUCGAAGAACAGAAAAAAUUGUAUCAUCGAGUAUUGAUAGUUUCUAUCUGUCCCCGCUUUGCUUCUAGAAAAUGACGCGCGCUUUAAAAUGUUAACCAGUAUGGGUCUACCAAAAUUGGAAAACAAAAUACAUACUCCGCAACACGUGCAUGAUAAUAAUUUCUACAACAUACCAAUGUUGAUGAUUACGAUCUAGCGUAUUCAAAAUUUGAGAUAACAUCUAUACUCUAGGGAGAAAGAUGUUAAAACAUUUGUAAAAAAUUAUGCUGAAAUUUUUCAUUUCGAAGUUCAAACUUUGUCAUUAUAUGUUUUGUUGGUGUAAGCAAGAAAAAUUUGUAUAUAAAUGAAAAAUCGUAAAAUUAAUAAACGUACGAAUCUUCAUUAAAAUACUGUAGAAAUAUUAAAGGAAUCGUGAUUAGGACUAAAUUCUGUUAAAUAACUAAUAGACUUAUGGUUAUUCUAAUAUCAAACUGGAAUAGAUCCACGACAUAACCAGUGGUUAAGUAGUCGUUUCACUGUUUCUGUGAAUGCAAAAAUGACAGCGAUGAAAUAUUAACGCUACGUAUUAGUCGACGUUUAAUAGUUACUUGUUUGACUAUAGUAUUUUUCUUAUUUUAUUAGAUAUGUAAAACAUCGACAAAGUUUGACUGUAGAAAGCCGGGGUACCGUUUGCAAAUAUUUGGGCACGUUCAUAUUGAACAAAUUUAUAAAAUAUAUCUUAAAAAAAAUUCGUUGAUCCAGUAUUAGCCUAUGAUAUUUAACAACUAUAUACAGCUGAUAGAUAUUAAUGAAAAAACUGGAUAAUGUUAAUUAGUAUAAAUAAAAGAGUAAUAACUGAACUUAGACGAAGAUUGAUCCUAUGUAGACACAUGCAUUUAACGAGUUUAAGUGACUAUUUAAUAUUAGAUGUUUUAGAGUGAUUGAAAUAUACAUUUCUAGUCGCAUAGAAGUGUCAAUUAUUUAUUAUAUAUAAACAUGAAGUUUUAAAGGAAGACACGCUGUUUUCAUUUAAAUUUAUUAAAAAAUAAAUGUUGUGUCAAAAAGUAAAAUGUUAUCAGCAAAGAGAUGAUUUUGCAUUCAAACUUCAACAACUAUAACGAAACAAUCUUUUAAUUGAAUUAUACAAGAUGUCCAAAUAUUUAUGGACGGUCGUGUAAAAGUAUUUCAUCGUACGGUUUAAAUAUUUCUUUUUAUAAACUUGUCAAUGCGUUCAAUAGUCAUCUCGAACGAAUUAUUUUCGUAGCACGAUUGCGAGAGUAAGCAAAAGCUGUGAGUAAUUCGGCAACGAUCCACCUAUAAUUGGUCUUAGAAGAACAUAAAGAUUGCUUAUUAUCUCUCAUCGACCGCUUUUUUACGCGCAUCAGUUCUCUUAAAUCUUUACAGGAUUACAUUAGUUUUGCAACAAAUGUAUGCCGUAAGCUUUCUCUUUCUUCCAACUUUACGAGUCUUCUCUUUCUUCCUUUUUUCCCUAUACUUAAUCCAUUUAACGAUAUUGUAAAAAGAUCGCAUAACACAGCUUUCUGCAAAGAGUUUCGAUAUCUUGCACAAGGAGUGUUCCGCACAAGCUUGCACCAACGCAAGCUUCGUCGAUUAUUUUCAUUUCUUUACGUACCUUUUUGACUAAACUCACGAGUACGCCAAUUCCUCCACGACUAACAGAAGUUCAUCGGUGUAUUCGCGGAAAGCAUCGCAGCUGAUUGCAUGAGAAGCUGCGGAUGUGACAACAAUCCUUUCGUAACUUCCUUUUCUUCUUCACCUUUCGCUUUAUCGACUAGCACCAAAGUCUUACACACUCGGAAGCCAAACAACUUCGGACAUUUUACUAAACAGAAACGACGAUAGAUUCUUCAAAUUACGCUAACGUAGCUUCACAUUUUUUUUUUUUUUACCAUUUUCAAGAUAAUACCAGGUAACAUAUUCAUAAAGUAAUAACAAAACAAUAACAAGAUUAAUCUUUUGCGAUCUGAGUUAGGUUGAAUAAUUUAUUCCAAAAAUUGCUUUAUACCCGGUAAAUUACUUUUGAAGAUUGUUCGCGAUUCGACUGUUUAUACUUUCAUAUUUUUGAUUCAAAUAUUUCCACCGAGCCUCGUGAUCCAGCAGAUUUUAUACGUUAAAAGCAAACGAAAGUAGAGAUCGCAAGGGGUUAAUUGAUUAAAAGUUCGAUCCUUUACAACGCGAUGGUAAAGCUUUACUUCCGAGUGUACGAGUUUGUGUUACCCGUAGUAUAAAUAUGCGAAGCGAGCGCCUAUAUUUAUUUCAGUUAAACAGACUCGCGGUAAUUUUUGCUACAUUUCCCCGAAGCAACGAAUUGAUUUCGCUUUGUAGCGAUUGCACUAGCGUGGCAGGUUAUUAUAGGACACGAGAGAACUAGCUUCGGUUGGUCGGGCAUUUAUUUUAUCUACUCUUCCUCUUCUUCUUUUAUUUUUAUUUUUUUUAUUUUUUUUCGUUUUCGAGGCUUGGUUGAGGGUGUGGACCAAAGGGAGCGGGGUUUUGAAGGGAGUAAAUGAAACAUGUGUUAAAUACGCAUGCCGAACAAUGUACAAAAUACAACUUGUAUAAGUCGAGCGACGUCGGGCAGACUGCCUUCAAACGACGAAGAUACUCCUUGGUGCAAACAUCUGGGUAUCUAUACGUUUCUAUGGCAGUUUUCGGCGAUUCUGUUCACUGGGUUCAUUUGAGUCCUCAGUUUCGCAGGAAAUGCUUUAGAACGUUAUAGCAGUCCACAUUACAUCCUCCCCCAUCCUUUUUUUCCUUAUUUUCUCGACGCAUCGUUUCGAAGUCGUUUGGAGGAUCCACGACAAACGUUUCGAGCGUAUUCUUUUUUAUCCUUGGUCGUACAGUCGUCUACAAUGGGGCCCUUUUUGCACUACUGUCUCUUUUAAAAAUCUCGUUAUUGAAGUAACGGUGGCGUUGAAUCGAAGAUUCGAACGAUAAAAACCCGCUUCUUAUCGUAACGGCACGUCGGUCGUUGUUCUAUACGAGGGUAACAUUGUAUUUGGAAAAAUAAGCUUCUUUACGUACGCAAAUUGUUGCUUGCUUCGUAUUGUACAUUUUUUCGUACAUGUAAACAGACUACUUACGCUUUCCUUCUAUUUUGUCAGUGAUCGAAUAUGUUGUUAUUGUAUUUGGUGUAUAAUUUGGUACAUAUUUUUGAACGCUUUCGUGCAGUGAGAGCUUUUGGUAUUUACUCUGUUUUUUGGUAGUUGUUGUUGCUUAUAAAAAAAAGCAGGCUAUAAAUAAAACUAUUAUAUUUUUCUUCGUAUUUCACCGAUAACUCACAUGUUGAGAAGUAUUUCCAUGUUAUAUCCGAGUCUGGACGUUGUGAAGAGAUACGUAUUUCCGGUUGACGGUUGGAAUUCUUAUUUCUGAUCCAGCUUUUUGUCGACUUUCGUGCGAUAAUAAGAAAAAAGAAAAAGUAUCAUAAAUAUGGUAAACACGGUAACGCAAUCACGGACUACACGGAGUUUUUCUUCUUCUGUUCUUCACGUUCGUCUAUCGAAGUCUGCUUCAUUGGCUAUUUCCUGUUACGAUAACGAUAUAGGAACUGUUACUAUUUCCAAUUUUGUCAUUCCACUACGUUGCGUUCAAAUUACACAUGGAAAAUAUAAUAAAUCACACGAAACAGAAACGUUCAAUUGUAGAAAAACAGAAAAGAAAGAAAUAUAUACGAUAGCCAGUCGACGGAAAGUUCUAGAAAAGGUGCGGUAAUUUUAGUUUAAUCGCAGCAAGAAUAGUAGGAGAUGAAGCGAUCUGACGAUGUCGGUAUUUGACCGGUUGAUCCGUCGGUUUUCCAGGUGAUAGCUGUGAUAUCAAUACUCUUUAUUGUGCUUUCGACGAUCGCACUAACUCUCAACACCAUUCCUAGUAUGCAAGUGAAUGAUGAGAAGGGGAACUUUCAAGACAAUCCGCAGCUCGCCAUGGUGGAGGCUGUGUGCAUCACAUGGUUUACCCUCGAGUACAUGCUUAGGUUCAGUGCCUCGCCGGACAAGUGGAAGUUCUUCAAGGGUGGUCUAAAUGUGAUCGACCUGUUGGCAAUACUGCCGUACUACGUAUCUCUGUUCCUGGUCGAGACGAACAAGAACGCGACCGACCAGUUCCAGGACGUGCGCAGGGUAGUGCAAAUCUUUCGUAUAAUGCGGAUCCUGAGGAUCCUGAAGCUGGCCCGCCACUCGACCGGGCUGCAGAGCCUUGGCUUCACCUUGCGUAACUCGUACAAGGAGCUGGGCCUGCUGAUGCUCUUCCUGGCGAUGGGCGUCCUUAUAUUCUCGAGUCUUGCCUACUUCGCUGAGAAGGAGGAGCCCGGGACCAAAUUCAUAAGCAUUCCAGAAACCUUUUGGUGGGCGGGCAUCACGAUGACCACCGUCGGAUACGGCGACAUCUACCCCACGACCCCGCUCGGCAAGGUGAUCGGCAGUGUGUGUUGUAUAUGUGGUGUCCUGGUAAUCGCGUUGCCCAUUCCCAUUAUCGUUAACAAUUUCGCCGAGUUCUACAAGAACCAGAUGAGACGGGAGAAAGCCCUCAAGAGGCGAGAGGCUCUUGAAAGGGCAAAGAGGGAGGGCAGCAUCGUUUCGUUCCAUCACAUCAACCUGAGGGAUGCCUUCGCCAAAAGCAUGGAUCUCAUCGAUGUCAUCGUCGAUACUGGUCACAAUAUGUCCGGCGUGGAUGGUAACAGCACCGAGGGAGAAUCCGCGUGCGGACGCGGUCCUGCCCAGACCGGGCCAGGCUGUUAUCGUAACUAUGAGCAUUACAGUCUCUCGCGACAUCGGCGCAGCGCCUCGUCCUGCUUCCCAAAUUUGCCUAACGAUCUGCCGACCACACCGGACAGCCCGAACCGUCGUCUCCUGGACUUUGCUCAGAGCGUACCCGGAACUCAGAACGACGAUUACUUUCACGACGAUGUACCAGCCCAGCACGUGAACCAAGGCAAUACCACACCUAGCGAUGAAGAGAAAAAAGACAGCAGAAAAUUCGAGAAAAAUGAUGAAAUACCUAGCGAAUUCGAGUGUUGCUUUUGUACUACGAAGGAAUACAAAGAGUUCAGAGACGCGGAAGAUAUAAUGCCACUGGCGACCAGCGACUUUCGUAAUCCCAUCUGCCAGGAGAUGAAGUCGAUGCGAUCCGGAGGAAUCAUGUCGAUGGAACCGAUCGCGCAUCAGCAGAUCUUCGCCGUGGAAACGAAACCGUCCCCGGCACAACCGGUGGAUGUCCCCAGCUUUGGCAGAACGUACAACGAGCAAGGAAGCGUAGACAGCUCUGAUACGUAUGCCAGCUGUCAAACGCAUCCGUCUCAUUCGCAGGUUUCUUCUGCUGGUCAUUCGGCGGAUAACAAUAAGGGCGAUUUGACCGAAGAAGCAGACAGUAAUCUGUACGUGAAUCCACUGGAAGCUGCGGAGAAGUGUGGAAAUAGAGUGAAAAAGUCCGCUUCCGGUGAAGUCGGACGUAACGUUGGCGACGCGUCACCGAGUGUUGAAUCGUUAAAGGACGUUCGUCCCUUUAACGAUGGUAGCAGGGUUACGUUAAACGACACAGUGCCCAAGCAUAGAAAAAUUCGUAUUCAGCAGAGCGUAAGACCACGCGCGCAAUUUAUCAGCGACCAGGAAAGCAUUGUGGCUCGUAGCAUCACGAAAGAGGAAACCAUGGAGAACAAUUACUAUGGAGGACUACGAGGAGGCAAGCCAUUUACCACGACCAACAGCAGCCUGGCCUCGGCUACGAGAAUUAUACAUCAUCAUUUGUUCGGCUCUGCCAUUGGACCCAGGCAUUACACAGCGCAAUACUUGGAAGCACUGUAUAUGCAGGUCAUCGAAGGCAAAUUUCAGGAACGAACACCGACAGCAAGCUUUCCCUGUCCGCUGAUUCGAUAGACAGCGAGGGCGUGCCUUUCAUAGACAGGCACCGGGUCUCCAAGUCGAUACUCAAGAAGUCCGAGAGCAGCAAUAAUUACUACAGCAACGCCGGUGACUCGGACACCGAGAAGCUUAUCACCGAUAAUGCGUCGACCAUAAGCAUGUGCGACAAUGAGACGAGCACAUGCGACGUUUUCGCCAAUGUGAAUGGAACGAGAUUGAAACAGCCUGGCUCGCCGUUGCUUUCCAGACAGGUUCUCGAGUCGAUCUUCCGCACGAACAAUAACGUCGAGAGGGAGAACGAAGUGGAUCAAAGCGAAGAAAGGAACUGUGUUUCCAAGAUGAGCAGAUCGAUAUUCGACGAGGUCCUCGAAGAAGAGAAGUGCACGCAGGACGAGGCAAUGACAGAGAAUAAGAACAAAGAGGAGCGAAAGAAAUCGAGAACGAGGAUAGAGGAGCCGUCGAAGGAUAGCCAGACGAUGUUGAUAUGCUCAUUACGAUCGCAUAAAACGAAGAAGUUAAGCAUAGAGGAAAAACGAAAGGCCAAAACGGCCAGUCAUAGUUGCAAAGGCACCGACACGAAUUGUCUUCCUCAAGAACAUCGUUUCUCGUCGUAGCGUAAUUCUCCUUUGUGUAGCAUCCUCCGUUCUGUGUCGCGUAUACAUAUGUAGAUACGAAACUGAAUCACUCUGCGAUCACAUCAGUGUUUCUCUUUUAGUAACGCCAUUAACUUCUGUAAUAACAUUCGCACGGUCGUGCAUCUGCGUUUCGAAUACGACGACGACGACGACGUCGACAUCGUAUCGUCGACGAUAUCGACUUGGCCUGUCGUGUAAAUACGUCUAGGGAAAACGCAUAAUAAUCUUAAGAGAGUGAUAUACGUUCGAUAAUAUGAAAAAUAGAGACUAACAUAGAUAAUGUAUAACACGAAGAAAUACAUAUUUUCGAGAAAAAAGAAAGAAAAAAGGAAGGAAAGAGGGGGAGAGAAUACACAAUUUUGAAAAGUAUAUAUAUACGCGUGAAGGGAUAUAAUUGCGCCGAGGAUGGUAUUCAAAUGAUAAAAAAAAAAAAAAGGGAAAAAACGAUUAAAAUAAAAAUAAAAUAUCGAAGAAGAUAAGAUGCCAGUUUGCAUAGAAUUAAAAAAAGAAGCAAGCGAGAAGAUGUUAAUCAAAGCUUAUUAAAUGAUACGAUGAAAACAAGAGAUACAAAAACAAUGAUGAUAAUUCUAAUGAUAAUAGUAAUAAUAACGGUAAUAGUAAUAACGAUAGCAAAUAACAAAUCUUUAGGCCAUACGCUUUUCCCUGUUCGCUGAAGAAAAACGAGAAUUUAAUAAGACAUGUAAUCUACAUAGUCACACGACCCUGUUAUUUCCUCCUUUCGCCUAAUAUGGUUAAAUUGGGGCAGCUUUGCGUGUCGCGCGAACAGUAUAUGCAUUCGAUGACAUAUAGCAAUGAGAAAACACGCAACCGAAUUACAAAUAAUGAUAGUCGGGAGAUUCGUCGUCCUUUUUUUUCUUUUUCUUUUUUUUUUUUUUUUUUUUGAGAAACGAGUCGUUCUCGACUAAACUCCGCUAAAGUCUCUCAGUGUUGUUCGAAAUGACACGAGUGUUCGUUCAUCUGCUGAGUGUCUUAUGCACAAUUAGAUAAUAAUAUAUGGUUGUAAUAUAUAGGAGGCAUUAGAUACACGAUGUGAUAUAUGCCUCGUUGAAAUCAAAACACGAUAUAGUAGGAAAAACGUGGGAACGUAGAUCGUCGGAAAACUCGUUAAUAACUGCCCUUUUUAAAGUUCCGAUUUUCGCGUUUCUUUUCUAUUGAAUCGAUUCUUGAAAGUUUUCUUAUGAUAUCUUUUUAAAGAGAAUAUUAUUGUUAUUUGUAUUUUAAGUACUUUGUGAUAGUAGUUUACAUAAAUCAAUUCACGUGUGUGUAUGUGUAUAUUUGUAUGUAUAUUAGUUAAAAAUAUCUGCAGGGUGUUCUAUUAAUUUUAUCGUGUGGUAUUUUUUUUUAGAAAAUUAUUGUGGAUAUAGAUGUGAAUUUAUUUUUAAAUUUCACGACGUUAAAGACUCCUGUAGAUUGUGAUAUAUGAGACUUCUAAUCUAUUACGUAGUGGAAAGGGUACAAAUUUUGAAGUAGAGCCACCAUGUUUUACUUGAAAGAACAUGUUUUACUCGAAAUAUGAUACUUAAUAAUAACAGGUACUUUAAAAGUCACAGAGAAUAAUGGUAGUUUAAGCAAAGAAGUUAUUGUAUACUAAUUGUAAUAUUAUUUUCUUCGGCAUCCAAAGUAACAUCUAAAAUAAUUUCUAUUAACUUCUGAACUAAACUGUUUAUCGAUAUAAUAAUAAAAAGAACUUUGUUCCUCUGUAAGACAGUGCAGUAUGAAAUUGUUGAGCUUGAAUUAAUAUUAAACUCGACUUUAUGUGUAUCUUAUAACGAAUUUCACUUCUGAUAUGAAUGAAAUUAUCGGAGAAAGCUCAACUCUUUGUAGUUUUUGAAAUAUGCAUUAUUAUUAAAAAUAUUGUUAGUAUACAAACUUGAAAACGUGAUGAAAAUUUGCUCACCGAUGUAUUUAAAACUUCGAUGGCUCGCUGUAUAAAUACUGUAUGUCCAAAAAUAAUAUUUUGUUUAUUGUAUUUAGUGUAUGUAGAGAUAUGUUCAAGAUGCACCCCUGUCAUUUUAUGUUCCUAAAAAUGAUCAAUGCCCAAUUUGCAAUCGAUCUUGCAAUAGCAUCGAUAAGGAUAAAUACGAUGCAAAGAGUACUUAUUUAAUGAGUGCCAUUAUAAAGUGCCAUUGAAUUUUUAAAAUUGGUUUUCUCGAAUACGCUAAAAAUGAACAAACGAUAUUUAUGCAGUAAACCAUCAAUUCUAAUCCUGCUUUCUACCUACUUCUCCCUUGAGUUCUCGUUUCUACUGCGUAGAGUAUACACCAAGACCUCCUUAUUCAAUGAAAUUGAAAAAGGAAAAUACUCGUUUAAAGAACGUACAGUUUCUAGUAAUAGUAUAAUUAGAAGAUAACAUGUAACCCGAAGUUACUGGAACAUCCUGCGAUACAUUUGAAAAUAAAUCCACUUGCAUCGAGGUUCAACCGAAGUUUUCCUAUGUUCAUUCUCGUUUAAAUGACACGGAACUUCACUUCCAAAGAGUUGUAUCUACCUGACCACGUUUUCCACGUAGAACACACACACACACACACACACACACAUAUAUAAGUAUAUACUUUAUAUAACGCAAAUAUCGCAGUGGAACCAGAAGCGCUUACGUGCACGACCAUGAGUUCAGUUCGGUCGUUUUUAAGAGUUGAAGAAAAAGUGUACUUUUCGCGUAUGUUAUAGAUGUUAAAUCAAAAAUGAAAAAAAGAAAUAAAAAUGAUGAAACGUGUUAACAUGCUCAUGUAGAGAAUAGCCAGAGCGCAAGUAUCGUCUGUGUUAUAUCCAGGUACCGAUGUCUAGCCGCGGUAACAAUCAAAGUUUUCCAAGAAACUUUUACACCAUCGUCAUCGAACGCGACGAAAAGAAAUUUUAAAUCGAUUGUCUUCGCCGAAAAAUGAAGAACAUCAUGUAACAUUGCAACGCGCAUUAUGUACGAAUGUAAUUACGACGCGUGCUCAAAAAGUUCGAUCGCCUCUUUUUUCCUACUAAUGGUGAUCGUUCUCUUUUUUGUUGCCUUUCGUUCUAACAAGGAGAAGCGAAAUAAGUAAGAAAUCUUCCGUUCGUAUCUCGCUGUAAUUUAGUCAAAGUAACAAAGACGCGUUCUCGCCUUCAAAAAAAAAAAAAAAAAAAAAAAGGACGCCUCUGUUUCGCUAUAAUUAGCGAUCGUUCCGAUCUUUAUUUUCUUUUUUUUUUUUUUUCGUUUAUGCUUCCUUUAAUUUUAAUCGGGAGAAGCGAGACAAGUAAGAAAUCUCCCGUUCGAAUCUCGCUGUAAUUUGGUCAAAGAAAGAAAGACGUUCUCUCUUAGAUUUUUAGACGAGCCGUCAGUAAAAAUACAUAUCUCUGUAAUGGCAUUUCUAUUCAUUGUUAUCGUAGAUGUAGGGAAACAAAGUAAUUGUACAGUUGCAAAUUAACGAGGAGGAAAUGGAAAAAAGAAAAGAAUGGUUAAUAUUCCCCAUAGACGCGUCUAUUUGGGGAUCUUUGUUAUGCCGAUGGUCCGAAGUUCACGCCUCGACUAUUUUUUAAUAUAUUUGUAAUUGUUUUCGAAUACGUAUAUGAAGAUGCUUCUCAUGAAAGAAGCAUUUCAAAGCAUCCGAAUAGAUCCAUCUGAUUUCACAUUUUUUCACGUGAAACUUUCGUCUUCGUUAAGAAAUAACGUAAGCUAUUCGAACCGUGAUCCUUAGCGAUAAUAACUUGUAUUACGCGAUGAUCGUUGUACGUGUAAUACGUAAUACAUUUACCGUUCCACAUUGUUACCGCGAUAUAUUUAUUUAUGAGAGAGAGAGAGAGAGAGAGAGAGAAAGAUAUGAUCAUCGUAUCCGACUUUAAGGGAUUUCUCGUUUUUUCUAAGAAUUGCAAACAAACUUGUUUUAUGUACUUGUUAUUCGAAGUUGGAUCUCGAUACCUUGUAAUCGCUUGGAGUUUCUGAGUAAAUCAAUGUCUUCUGUGAAUUAACAUAGCUGGAAGUAGAAAGUUCCUAGGAAAGGUGUACAGAACGUGGAUUUAUUAUUUAUUGUUGUAAUUAUAUCUUAGAAGAAUUAGCAUCGACAUAGUACAAAAGGGAAGGCCACACCAUAGACACGCGUGGCAACGAGACAAGUUGACCAGAUUACAAAAAAGAGAAAAAGAAAAAAAAAAGAUAGUAUGAAAGAGACUUGAAACGGCUGCACAGUUGCGUAGAUCUUGAGCGAUAUACGAGAGCAGUACGGCGAGAAAAAGACAUUUUUCUUUUCUCCGUUUUUCAUUUUUCGUUUCACGUUUCGAAAUUUGUAAUACUUCGUAUUAAGGCUUAAUUUAAUGGAAUAAGUCUGACGACCGAGGCGUAACGCUUUCGCAAAUUGAUAUAAGAUAUUGUAAAACGUAAACAAUGCAAGAUAACUUUUUAUCCACUUUUUUAUCGAAUAAUCGAGGAAUUAUAAAGAUUCGAUUAAUAUAUAUUUACAAGAGGAUAAUAUCGAAAUUUCAGACGUUUCCUAAAUCGAUAAACAAUUUUUCGUCUACGCCUCAAGCCACAAUAUCGACAGAUUAAAGUGUCUGUCUAUUCGAUCCAUGAAACAGCUAACGAUACCAAUUGUACAGCACAUAACAGUCAAUUCUCAAUUAUACAAUGCAGUUAUAUGAAAAAUCCUUUAUCAUAAUAUCGACCUAAACAUCGACGAGCGCAAAGUUAAUCGGAUUUAGUCGAUUGGUCACGUACAUUCUUUUAUUUUCGAAUCUCUAAGGCCUAGAGUCGCGUAGCUAUAAGGCGAGUAGUAUGUAACAAAAUGAAUAAAGUUGUAAUUUGCCAGUUUUUGUUCCUUA